rnacentral:rRNA from 1 species
CUUUACUGUAGCUUUGCAUUGGACUUUGACGGGACUUGUGUAGGAUAGGUGGGAGGCUUUGAAGCCAGGACGCUAGUUCUGGUGGAGCCAACCUUGAAAUACCACCCUGGUGUCGUUGAGGUUCUAACCUUGGUCCGUGAAUCCGGAUCGGGGACCGUGCAUGGUAGGCAGUUUGACUGGGGCGGUCUCCUCCCAAAGAGUAACGGAGGAGUACGAAGGUCUUCUAGGUACGGUCGGACAUCGUACUGAUAGUGCAAUGGCAAAAGAAGGCUUGACUGCGAGACCCACAAGUCGAGCAGGUGCGAAAGCAGGUCAUAGUGAUCCGGUGGUUCUGUAUGGAAGGGCCAUCGCUCAACGGAUAAAAGGUA